GGCUGGUCCGAAGGUAGGUAGGUAGCUCAAUUGACUGUUCCGUUCGUUACAGUUAGAACUCCUUGUUCUACUCUUUCCCCCUUCUCCUUAACGCAGUUGACGAGGAAA
rnacentral:Y_RNA from 1 species